AUAAGGGCGCACGGUGGAUGCCUUGGCACUAGGAGCCGAUGAAGGACGGGACUAACACCGAUAUGCUUUGGGGAGCUGUACGUAAGCUAUGAUCCAGAGAUUUCCGAAUGGGGGAACCCAACAUCUUUAAUAGGAUGUUACGAUUGUGUGAAUACAUAGCACAUUCGAGGUAGACGCAGAGAACUGAAACAUCUAAGUACCUGCAGGAAGAGAAAGAAAAUUCGAUUCCCUGAGUAGCGGCGAGCGAAACGGGAAAAGCCCAAACCAGCAAGCUUGCUUGUUGGGGUUGUAGGACUCCAAUAUGGUAGUUCUUUCAGAUAGUCGAAUGACUUGGAAAAGUCAGUCAAAGAGGGUAAAAACCCCGUAGACGAAAUGUGGAAGACACCUAGGAGGAUCCUGAGUACGGCGGAACACGAGAAAUUCCGUCGGAAUCCGGGAGGACCAUCUCCCAAGGCUAAAUACUCCCUAGUGACCGAUAGUGAACCAGUACCGUGAGGGAAAGGUGAAAAGCACCCCGGAAGGGGAGUGAAAUAGAACCUGAAACCGUGUGCCUACAACAAGUCAAAGCCCGUUAAUGGGUGAUGGCGUGCCUUUUGUAGAAUGAACCGGCGAGUUACGAUUGCAUGCGAGGUUAAGUUGAAGAGACGGAGCCGCAGCGAAAGCGAGUCUGAAUAGGGCGUUUGAGUAUGUAGUCGUAGACCCGAAACCAUGUGAUCUACCCAUGUCCAGGUUGAAGGUGCGGUAAAACGCACUGGAGGACCGAACCCACGUACGUUGAAAAGUGCGGGGAUGAGGUGUGGGUAGCGGAGAAAUUCCAAACGAACUUGGAGAUAGCUGGUUCUCUCCGAAAUAGCUUUAGGGCUAGCCUCGGAAUUGAGAAUGAUGGAGGUA
rnacentral:rRNA from 1 species